rnacentral:misc_RNA from 1 species
UCCGAGUUGACCCCGGCAGUCUCCCAUGAGUCCCCGGCAUGACCCGCUGGCAACAUAGGAUAAGGGUUGCGCUCGUUGCGGGACUUAACCCAACAUCUCACGACACGAGCUGACGACAGCCAUGCAGCACCUGUGUGCAGGUCCCCGAAGGGAAGGAAUCCAUCUCUGAUGCUUUCCGGGCGAUGUCAAGCCUUGGUAAGGUUCUUCGCGUUGCGUCGAAUUAAGCCACAUGCUCCGCUGCUUGUGCGGGCCCCCGUCAAUUCCUUUGAGUUUCAGCCUUGCGGCCGUACUCCCCAGGCGGGGCACUUAAUGCGUUAGCGCCGGCACCCAGGGGGUCGCUCCCCCCGACGCCUAGUGCCCAUCGUUUACGGCGUGGACUAC